rnacentral:tRNA from 2 species
GUCCCGUUCGUCUAGUGGCCUAGGACGCUGGCCUCUCACGCCGGAAACAGGGGUUCGACUCCCCUACGGGAUACCA